ACUCAAAGGAAUUGACGGGGGCCCGCACAAGCAGCGGAGCAUGUGGUUUAAUUCGACGCAACGCGAAGAACCUUACCUGGGCUUGACAUGUGCCUGACCGCCCUGGAGACAGGGCUUCCCUUCGGGGCAGGUUCACAGGUGGUGCAUGGCUGUCGUCAGCUCGUGUCGUGAGAUGUUGGGUUAAGUCCCGCAACGAGCGCAACCCCCGUCGCAUGUUGCCAGCAUUUAGUUGGGGACUCAUGCGAGACUGCCGGUGACAAACCGGAGGAAGGUGGGGAUGACGUCAAGUCAUCAUGCCCCUUAUGUCCAGGGCUACACACGUGCUACAUUGGCGCAGACAGAGGGUUCCGAGACCGCGAGGUGGAGGCAAUCCCUAAACUGCGUCUCGGUUCGGAUUGCAGGCUGAAACUCGCCUGCAUGAAGGCGGAGUUGCUAGUAAUCGCAGAUCAGCAAUGCUGCGGUGAAUACGUUCCCGGGCCUUGUACACACCGCCCGU
rnacentral:rRNA from 1 species